rnacentral:lncRNA from 1 species
CUCUCAGGUAGCAGACUUCAGAGAGAGAGCAGAUUGUAAAAUGUUUCUUUUUUCUUGUUUCUCCACUGAAUGAGUGGCCAAGGAAGUUGGAUUUUAAGUCAAAACCCUUAGCAACACUUUCCCAUCAGAGGGAAAAUAAGUUACCUAAUACGUAGCAUCACCUAAAAACUCCACAAAAUAUCAGCUUACCUAAGACACCCAUUUCUUUUUUUGCAUCAGGAAAAAGUUCUACACAUUGUAGGGAAGCCUAAGAAGAAUUUUCGUGUCAUAGUAGGUUUAAAU